CCUACGGGUGGCAGCAGUGGGGAAUAUUGGACAAUGGGGGCAACCCUGAUCCAGCCAUGCCGCGUGUGUGAAGAAGGCCCUCGGGUUGUAAAGCACUUUCAGUGAGGAAGAACGCCUGGUGGUUAAUACCCAUCAGGAAAGACAUCACUCACAGAAGAAGCACCGGCUAACUCCGUGCCAGCAGCCGCGGUAAUACGGAGGGUGCGAGCGUUAAUCGGAAUUACUGGGCGUAAAGCGCGCGUAGGUGGCUUGAUAAGCCGGUUGUGAAAGCCCCGGGCUCAACCUGGGAACGGCAUCCGGAACUGUCAAGCUAGAGUGCAGGAGAGGAAGGUAGAAUUCCCGGUGUAGCGGUGAAAUGCGUAGAGAUCGGGAGGAAUACCAGUGGCGAAGGCGGCCUUCUGGACUGACACUGACACUGAGGUGCGAAAGCGUGGGUAGCAAACAGGAUUAGAUAUCCUUGUAGUC
rnacentral:rRNA from 1 species